CUAUUUACCGGGUAGGGGAGGUACCAUGAUCACGAGGGUGGUUUUCCCAGAACGAGGCUUAUCCAUUGCAUUCCGGAUGUGCUGCCCUCUGCAAUUUCCCCAAAUGUGAGAAACUCAGCUGCAUGAUUUGUGGUAGUGGUGUACUGUGUCCACUCUCUCCAA